GAUAAGGUGGCCGAGGUUUAGGCGGUAAAUUGUAAAUUUACUCACGAAUUUUUAUUCUCUUGUCA
rnacentral:tRNA from 1 species